UGUGCCAGCAGCCGCGGUAAUACGUAGGGUCCAAGCGUUAAUCGGAAUUACUGGGCGUAAAGCGUGCGCAGGCGGUUGUGCAAGACCGAUGUGAAAUCCCCGAGCUUAACUUGGGAAUUGCAUUGGUGACUGCACGGCUAGAGUGUGUCAGAGGGGGGUAGAAUUCCACGUGUAAGCAGUGAAAUGCGUAAGAGAUGUGGAGGAAUACCGAUGGCGAAAGGCAGCCCCCUGGAUAACACUGACGCUCAUGCACGAAGCGUG
rnacentral:rRNA from 1 species